UACGUAGGGUGCAAGCGUUGUCCGGAAUUAUUGGGCGUAAAGAGCUCGUAGGCGGUCUGUUGCGUCGGCUGUGAAAACCCGGGGCUCAACCCCGGGCCUGCAGCCGAUACGGGCAGACUAGAGUUCGGCAGGGGAGACUGGAAUUCCUGGUGUAGCGGUGGAAUGCGCAGAUAUCAGGAGGAACACCGGUGGCGAAGGCGGGUCUCUGGGCCGAUACUGACGCUGAGGAGCGAAAGCGUGGGGAGCAAACAGG
rnacentral:rRNA from 1 species